GCGGCUAUAGCUCAGAGGGAGAGCACCACCUUGACACGGUGGGGGUCAUAGGUUCAAUUCCUAUUAGCCGCACCA
rnacentral:tRNA from 2 species